UACAGAGGUCUCAAGCGUUGUUCGGAUUCAUUGGGCGUAAAGGGUGCGUAGGCGGCGCGGUAAGUCGGGUGUGAAAUUUCGAGGCUUAACUUCGAAACUGCAUUCGAUACUGCCGUGCUAGAGGACUGGAGAGGAGACUGGAAUUUACGGUGUAGCGGUGAAAUGCGUAGAUAUCGUAAGGAAGACCAGUGGCGAAGGCGGGUCUCUGGACAGUUCCUGACGCUGAGGCACGAAGGCCAGGGGGAGCAAACGGGG
rnacentral:rRNA from 1 species